GGAGAAGACAAUAUGACCCCUGCGCAAGGAUGACAUGCAAAUUCGUGAAGCAUUCCAUAUUUUU
rnacentral:snRNA from 1 species